rnacentral:rRNA from 1 species
UACGUAGGGUGCAAGCGUUGUCCGGAAUUAUUGGGCGUAAAGAGCUCGUAGGCGGUUUGUUGCGUCGGCUGUGAAAUCCCGAGGCUCAACCUCGGGUCUGCAGUCGAUACGAGCAAACUAGAGUGUUGCAGGGGAGACUGGAAUUCCUGGCGUAGCGGUGAAAUGCGCAGAUAUCAGGAGGAACACCGGUGGCGAAGGCGGGUCUCUGGGCAACAACUGACGCUGAGGAGCGAAAGCGUGGGGAGCGAACAGG